AUUUCCAACUAACUCCUGAGGCCAUUUGCUCACAUACCAGAGAUGCAGACAUACACCAAAACACUCUACGAACGCACUCGUGGCCUCGGAAUUCCCAACGGAGGUCUCGUUGACCGAGUCAACCCCUGAUACCUCAAUUUCCAACUUCCCAACCCAAGUCCCAAAAUGCACCCGAGUGCAUUGGGAACCGAACCAGAUAUGCACACAAGUUUUAAAUGACCAUCCGAACCUCUUGAAAUCGACGGAGUUCUGAAAAAGAUCCGUUUACCCAAAAGUCAACUUUGAGUCAACUCUUUUUCGCUUAAAGCCAAAUUUUCCCAAAAAGUCACCCAAAUCAAAUCUGAGCACCUCGAGAAGCAUGUCAACAGUCCCCUCCGAUCAAAAGCGAGCUAACAAGCUCGGGGAAAGGUCAAAAAGUGUCGAAAGGACUAUAACGACCAAGCGGGUCGUUACACCAGAUAUUACCGCACCCCAAUUUAAGGAUAUUUUCUUUUACCAAACUCAAGGCCGCCACCAAAAAAUUUAGCAAUGAUACGGUGCUGGGGGACGGUGGUUUUGGGAAAGUUUACAAGGGUUGGCUUGAUGAGUGGGCUUCUUCCAAGAGUGGUCGCACUAUAAUUGCUGUUAAGAAAUUGAGUUGUGAAAGCUUCCAAGGCUUUGAAGAGUAGCAGUCUGAGAUGAGAUUUCUUGGAAGACUUUCUCAUCCUAGCUUGGUCAAACUCUUGGGAUACUGCCAAGAAGAUAAAGAACUACUUCUGUCUAUGAGUUUAUGCAAAAAGGCAGCUUGGACAACCAUCUUUUUGGAAGGCGCUCUGCUUCUUUCAGUUCCAUGGAAUGUAAGGCUUGACAUUGUGAUUGGCGCAGCUCGAGGCUUGGCAUUCCUACAUGCAACAAAGAAGCAAGGCAUGUACAUAAACCUCAAUGCCUCGAAUAUUUUACUUGAUGGCGUAUGUUUCCUUUUCUUCUCCCUCAAAUUAUUGUCAUAUAGUGGCUUAACGCAAGUAAUAUAGAGAUCACAAACUGAUGCCAGUUAAUUAUUUGGUUAAACACAGACCCUUUUCUUACUGGGCACCUUUCUGGCUUACACGCACUGUUUCGCCUAAAGUUUUGGAGCUCUUGAUCACAAAGUGACAAAACCGGACUAGCGGACCUAUAGCAGUGAGAACAUUAGCUAGAAGGACACUUGCACGUAAAGAGCGAUGUCUUCGGUUUCCGUGUCGUUUUAGCGGAAAUGCUAACAGGUCUACGGGUACUAGACCCAAACCGCCCAAGCCACAAGAUUAAUCUAGUUGAAUGGAUUAAGCCAC